GGCCCACCACUUCCUUCCUGCUUGGUUAUUUCAGGAAAGAGGUAGAUGACAAAGAGGAAGGGGCUCCUAGCAGUCAGGGAAAGUGUCACGGAUGUCAGGACUGUACCCUGUCCUGGCUCUGUCACAGCCCUGCACAGGCAGGUCCUGGUUACUUGCAGAGUCACUUUGGCCUCAAUUUCCCUAGGGGCGAAGUUGAUAAAUGUGGGCUGAGCAAACAAACAAGGCCUUGUUAGGAGAUCCUGGGAGCAGCAGGAAGGGGGGCUGGGGCAAGCAAGAGGCCUUAUCGCUCUCUGGGCAGGCGAGGGUCGGAAGAAUGAGGUUUGUGGUUGGUAUCCACUUCCCUUGGCUUUCCUGGGGGAGCUGCUGGCCUCUACAAUGUGAGAGGAACAAGCCUUACUUCUCGAGCUAGGGACACAGCUGGACUCAGGCAACUUGGAGAAGCAGCUCAGUGGGACAGAGAACAGGAAGUGGUUGUGCCGGGAGGAGAUAACACCUCCGCUGGGGAAUCGAGAGCACUAUCGGGCCCUGCAGCGUGAGUGUCUCCCCAGCUGGCUCAGAACCUGGCAACCAUUCAAAAGGCAUUCACCGGGGCCGAGGUGCUCAAUGGGCCUCACGACUUCUUGCUCUGGGAGUGCUGGUGACGCAACAGCUGGUAUUUACUAGGUGGAGAACUUCGGCACCUGUGAUGGUGCUAGGAGGGAAGGUGUACACUGUCUGCAGCUACCCAACACGGGCCACCAGAGCACCAAAAAUCACAGAAGAAUAUCAUUCAUCAUCGCCACCAGGACAUCCAGCAACUCAUGUCCCACCUGAUGGGACAAAUCUUACAGCAUCAUGAUCUGUGUUUCACUGAGGCUCAUCCCUUCCCUGAACAGAUGGGACACUGAGACCCAGGCCCUCUGCCCUCUGUGUUCCAGCUACACUGAGAACAGGUGUGCCCACUUCACAGGCUUGGCAGCAGGAUUAAAGGGUCGACAGGAGGUGCUCAAUACAUGUUAGCUGUUCUUACUUAUUUUAAUAACAACAAGGUCUCACUAUGCAGUUCAGGCUUUGAACUUACUUUGUGGCCCAGGGUACACUCAAACUCACAGCAAUCCUCCUGCCUCAGUCUCCUGUGUGCUGGGAUUACAGGCGUGCACCACUACAGCUGGAAAUUCCUCAAAAUCUUGUAAGUAGUGUCAUCUCUUUUACCAAUGAGGAAACCAAGACUGAGAGAAGUAAGGAGACUUACUGAGCUCACUGAUUACUAGUGUGGAGUGUGGCUCUGCAGCAUGUGUGAUCGGCCCACGCAGUGGAACAGAUGAAGAGGAGCAUCCCAAAGUCCUUCCUUCGGCUGUCCCUCUCCCUGCAAGUAUCCACUGAGCAUGUGCUACUCUUGGGCACUGCAAGUUGGAGGUAACUCUGAGGAGAGAAGCAGCUGCCUGGGUCCCUGGGUGCCCGCUGGGGGAGGUUCUGCUGAUAGCUGCUCUGUGCCUGACGCCCUCCUCUGCAACCCAGCCCUAAGGCCAGCACUUGUGGAGAGAUAUCUCCUUCUAUCUGGUCAUAAUCUUGAAAAUGAAAAUGUUGCCAACUGCUCUCAUGGCCUGUUACAUGAGUUGUCCAAAUGCACAUGGCCUCUCUGUAACCCAGGCUGGCCUGAGGAGUUGCAGAAAGGUCCAGACAGGCUGUCCUGAUUAGCUUCGGACACCUGUUUAUUCAUUAACUCCUUACUAAGUGUCCACUAAGUGUCAGGCACAGUGCUAAGUGCUGCGGGUAAAGCAAGAGCCAGAUUAAAUGAAAAUUCCCAUCUGUGUGAGUUUAUAACACAAUGAGAAGAGACAAGUAAUAAACCAAUGUGUCAGUUGGUCAUAAAGUGUUAAAAAGAAGAGUAAGUGUGAGAAGAAGACAGAGAAAGAUGAAAGAGGGCAGAACUAGAACUUGUGGUCAGGGAAAUAUUGCAAAGAUCUGGGAAAAAGCAAUGAGAGCAAGUGCAAAGGCUCUCUGGCAGACAUGUUAGAGAUAUUCCAGACAUGAAAGAUAC